AUUUUUGGUAGCAGUAUGCGGUGACCUUGGAAUUUCAUCCACUGAAGAGCCAGAGUCUAUUUUCCUUUCCUUUGAAUCUGGGCUGGCCCUGUAACUUGUUUUGGGCAAUAGAAUGUGGUGGAAGUGAUGGUGGGCCAGUUCCAGGUCCAGGUCUCAAAAGGCCUUGAGUGUUUUCACUUACUUCUGUGUUUGCCACGAGAACAUAUCCAGGUUAUC
rnacentral:lncRNA from 1 species